UUAUUAAUAUUUUUCAUGAUUUAAUUAACUUUUCAUUUGUUUUUAAUUGUUUAAAAAUACUUUUAAGUCUUUUAAAAUUCUGAAAUUUUUUAUCCAAGGUCCUUUGACCUUGUUUGACCUAUGAUAAAUCUCAUGACCAUUUAUUUGGUGUUUUGAUGAGGUUUUAGGAAUUUGACAAACCAAUUUGAUUUAAAUGCAUUAUUUUAGUAUUUUUAAUUUGAAUAAAUGCCAAAUAAUUUUGUUGACCAAUUGUGAUGACUUG
rnacentral:lncRNA from 1 species